UACAGAGGGGGCAAGCGUUGUUCGGAAUUACUGGGCGUAAAGGGCGCGUAGGCGGCCUUCUAAGUCGAACGUGAAAUCCCUGGGCUCAACCCAGGAACUGCGUCCGAUACUGGAAGGCUUGAAUCCGGGAGAGGGAUGCGGAAUUCCAGGUGUAGCAGUGAAAUGCGUAGAGAUCGUAAGGAAGGCCAGUGGCGAAGGCGAGUCCCUGGACAGUUACUGGCGCUGAGGCACGAAGGCCAGGGGAGCAAACGGG
rnacentral:rRNA from 1 species